UACGUAGGGUGCGAGCGUUGUCCGGAAUUAUUGGGCGUAAAGAGCUCGUAGGCGGUGUGUCGCGUCGGCCGUGAAAACCUGCAGCUUAACUGUGGGCUUGCGGUCGAUACGGGCAUCACUGGAGUUCGGCAGGGGAGACUGGAAUUCCUGGUGUAGCGGUGAAAUGCGCAGAUAUCAGGAGGAACACCGGUGGCGAAGGCGGGGUCUCUGGGCCGUAACUGACGCUGAGGAGCGAAAGCGUGGGGAGCGAACAGG
rnacentral:rRNA from 1 species